GAGUUUGAUUCUGGCUCAGAAUGAACGCUGGCGGCAUGCCUUACACAUGCAAGUCGAACGGCAACGGGCCCUUCGGGGUGCCGGCAAGUGGCGAACGGGUGAGUAACACAUCGGAACGUACCCUGUGGUGGGGGAUAACCCGUCGAAAGACGGGCUAAUACCGCAUAAGCUCUGCGGAGGAGAGCGGGGGACCGUCAAGGCCUCGCGCCACAGGAGCGGCCGAUGUCCGAUUAGCUAGUUGGUAGGGUAAAGGCCUACCAAGGCGACGAUCGGUAGCGGGUCUGAGAGGACGGCCCGCCACACUGGGACUGAGACACGGCCCAGACUCCUACGGGAGGCAGCAGUGGGGAAUCUUGGACAAUGGGGGAAACCCUGAUCCAGCAAUGCCGCGUGGGUGAAGAAGGCCUUCGGGUUGUAAAGCCCUUUUAGCAGGGAAGAAAUCGGCUAGGUAAAUAAUCUAGCUGGAUGACGGUACCUGCAGAAAAAGCACCGGCUAACUACGUGCCAGCAGCCGCGGUAAUACGUAGGGUGCGAGCGUUAAUCGGAUUUACUGGGCGUAAAGCGUGCGCAGGCGGUCCGCUAAGACAGGUGUGAAAUCCCUGGGCUUAACCUAGGAAUUGCGCUUGUGACUGGUGGGCUAGAGUACGGUAGAGGGGGGUGGAAUUCCUGGUGUAGCAAGUGAAAUGCGUAGAGAUCA
rnacentral:rRNA from 1 species